rnacentral:tRNA from 1 species
GCUACGGACUUGAAAAUCCGUUGGCUUUAUUGACCGUGAGGUUCAAGUCCCUCUACCCCCA